rnacentral:rRNA from 1 species
CCUACGGGUGGCAGCAGUGGGGAAUAUUGCACAAUGGGGGAAACCCUGAUGCAGCGACGCCGCGUGAGUGAAGAAGGAUUUCGGUAUGUAAAGCUCCAUCAGCAGGGAAGAAAAUGACGGUACCUGAUGAAGAAGCCCCGGCUAACUACGUGCCAGAUGCCGCGGCAAUGCGUAGGGGGCAAGCGUAAUCCGGAUUUACUGGGGGUAAAGGGAGCGUAGAGGGCAGCACAAGUCUGGAGUGAAAUGCCGGGGCUUAACCCCGGUACUGCUGUGGAAACUGUGCAGCUAGAGUGCAGGAGAGGUAAGUGGAAUUCCUAGUGUAGCGGUGAAAUGCAUAGAUAUUAGGCAGAACACCAGUGGCGAAGGCGGCUUACUGGACUGUAACUGACGUUGAGGCUCGAAAGCGUGGGGAGCAAACAGGAUUAGAUACCCGAGUAGUC